AUGGGUUACACUGCACUCCUUGCUCUUCUGUUGAUCCUUCACACGGUAAAUGGACAGACUACUACAGCAACUCCACCAUUGAGCCCUACUGAUCCACCAUUGAGCUCAGCAGCCCCACAGUCAAGUGGGACUCCUGUCCAACAAACAAGGUCAAAUGAUCCACUGUCAAGCUCAACAGCCACUUCAUCCUCAACAACUUCAUCAGUUGGUAUAACACCCUCGUCAACAGAUGUAACACCCUCACUGGUUGGUGCCUCAUCUCAAGUGUCAAACACAGACAAUCCUACAUCUAUUGCAACAACUAAAGCAUCAAGUUUGACGCAUCAACGUCCAAAUGCAACAGCUCUGCCAUCAAAUGUAACAACUCCAUCUACCAAUACAAGCUCUCAGAGUGCAUGGACAACUCUGGCCACUACAGGCGGGUCAUUGAAUACCACUCAAUAUCACUUUGGCAAUUUAUCGACACCAUUUCCUGGGAUUAGUGGAACUAGCCCAGUUCCUCUGGUGGCUUCAUUCUCAAGGAGAUGUUCUUCAAAUCCACCUCUGUGUUGUCUUGGGCUCAACAAUUCCUGUUUCAGAGGGUGCUUCUGUGAUGUGGCCUGUAUAAGGUUGAAAGAUUGCUGCCCAGACUUCCAGACUACUUGUGUGACAGGUGUGCAGAUUGGAUCAGCCACGGUGUCCUCAGUCUCCAACGCAACCAAUGCAACCAACGCAACCACCGCAACCAAUGCAACCACCGUAACCAAUGCAACCACCGCAACCAAUGCAACCACCGUAACCAAUGCAACCACCGCAACCAACGCAACCAAUGCAACCAACGCAACCAACACAACCAACGCAACCAAUUCCACUUCCACAUCAUUCCCAGUGUUCUCAUUUCCAGGAAAUUGUUCUGCACGGCCGGCCUUGUGCUGUAAAGGCGCCAACGUGAACUGCUUCAGAGGGUGCUUCUGUGACGAGGUUUGUCAGACUCUAAAUGACUGCUGUCCUGACUAUGCAGAGACCUGCACAAAAGACAUUCAGAGGGUGAUUGGUAGUGGAACUAUAUCCAUUCUUGCUCCACCCAAUUCAACUGAUGCGUCUCUUGAAGUGUCUAUUCAGAAUGUAAGUGCUUCUGCUUUCUCUUUGCCUAUCUCAACACUCAGAAACAACAAAUGCCCUACUUACAUAUAUUCAUUUGAGUCAUUUAGCAGAUGCUCUUUUCAGAGCGACCAACGCGCUUAA
ensembl:lncRNA